rnacentral:lncRNA from 1 species
GGGGUUAACGGGGAAAGCCCAAGACGCCGCAGCAGAGGGAAGGAAGGGAGAGCGAGCGAGAGCGAAGAAAGAGCCCCACAGUCAUCUUCCCCGGGUGAAGAAACAAACACACCGCCGAAGGGGGAGGGGAGCGGAGCGCACAAAAACUUCUGCGGAUUCUUCCUCCCCACCCCCAGUCAAGCCCUGCUCGGGAAGAAAGGGCUCCCAACCACGCGAGACAGCAAACUGAAAGCAGGAACACGGCAAAGUGCAAACAAAUCCAGUCCACAAAAGGCAGAAAAAGACGAUUUGACAUCAGCUAAAUCCCUCUCUGCCGACAAGUUUUCGGAGCUCUUCUCCUCCUGCUCGCCCUCGUCUUUGAAGGAAAUCAGUUCGUCGUUGGCGCCUAGGUCAUCCCCUCCACCGCCGUUCAGCUGCGGCAUUUUUUUUCACCCACCAGCAGCAAUUUUGGAAGAAAAAUGAAGGAAGAAGAAAAGCCAAAAAAAAAAAAAAAAAACCCAAAAAAGUUUCCCCCCCGCACAAAAAAACUGCAAGAAAAAGACGAGUCCAAGGUGAACUUUUUUUCUGCUUUGGGGUCUUUCUCUCCUGGGGAGGGGAAAAGAGGGAGGAGGGAAGGGGAAGGGGGGGGAGAUCUUCUGCACGCGUGAGUUUGGGUUUCUUUUUUCUCUCGUUCCCAAGGAUCCGAUCAAUGUGCAAAAAAAUAAUAAAUAAAAAAGGGGGUAAAAAAACACCACCAACAACAAGAAGUCAGAUAUAAAGAGCAAAGGGGGGGGAAGCCGAAGAUACAGGAGGAGCUCGUGCCGCUCGGAUUUGAGUGAGUUGAAGUUAGACUGAGAGCUUUUCAGUUCAAAGGCGGCGCUGAUUGACAGAUAGAAAAAGGGGGAUCGAAAUCCGGAGGAACGGAGUAGUCUGGGAGCGGAGAUUAUUGACAGGGCGAGAGGAACACACUCGCCUUAAUGAGA